UUAAAUGCACAUUUGCAAGCGAUAAAUGCUGCAUUGACAUUAAACAUGUGUUAGGCGCUCUGUAAUGCACUUUUAACAUGACGUUAUUCAAGCUUCCUUACUGUGUGACCUCAAUGACUUUAAAGACAGAUUUACCAGAGACACGGUAUGGUGAGAAUAUCAAGCUGAUGGGACCUUUAUUACCUCUUUUGAGCUCCGAACUUCGAGGUGGAAUGUCUAUGGUUUAGUAUGGAUGGAUCUUUGCCGAAGUGAUCGAAAAUGGCGCCCCAACAUGUUAUUCUUGCUGCUAACUUGGUUGGAAGGUGGUACAAGUUUUCUGUUUGGACUAUCUUUGGUAUCUUGUAGCUUAUUAUUUGAUGAAUAACUUUGGAUAUUUUAA